rnacentral:rRNA from 1 species
GACGAACCGUGCGAACGUUAUUCGGAAUCACUGGGCUUAAAGCGCGUGUAGGCGGCUUGGCAAGUUGAAUGUGAAAGCCCACGGCUCAACCGUGGAAGCGCAUCCAAAACUGCUUCGCUGGAGUCUCGGAGAGGAAGGUGGAAUGCUUGGUGUAGAGGUGAAAUUCGUAGAUAUCAAGCAGAACACCUGCGGCGAAGGCGGCCUUCUGGACGAUGACUGACGCUGAGACGCGAAAGCGUGGGGAGCAAACAGG